rnacentral:rRNA from 1 species
GACGAACGCUGGCGGCGUGCCUAAUACAUGCAAGUCGAACGCAGUGGGGGCGGGUGAGUAACACGUGGGUAACCUCCCAUCAGAGGGGAUAACACUUGGAAACAGGUGCUAAACCGAUACUGAUGGAUGAACCCGCGGGGCAUUAGCUAGUGGGUGAGGUAACGGCUCACCAAGGCCACGAUGCAUAGCCGGCCGGAGAGGGUGACCGGCCACACUGGGACUGAGACACGGCCCAGACUCCUACGGGAGGCAGCAGUAGGGAAUAUUGGGCAAUGGGCGAAAGCCUGACCGAGCCAUGCCGCGUGAGUGAAGAAGGUUUUCGGGUUGUAAAGCUCUGUUGUUAGAGAAGCGGUAUCUAAACAGAAAGCAACGGCUAACUACGUGCCAGCCGCCGCGGUAAUUC